rnacentral:rRNA from 1 species
CGCGUAGGCGGCCCUGUCAGUCGGGUGUGAAAGCCCGGGGCUCAACCCCGGAACGGCACCCGAGACGGCAGGGCUGGAGACCGGGAGAGGAGGGUGGAAUAGCCAGUGUAGAGGUGAAAUUCGUAGAUAUUGGCUGGAACACCGGUGGCGAAAGCGGCUCUCUGGCCCGGUUCUGACGCUGAGGCGCGAAAGCGUGGGGAGGCAAAACA